rnacentral:rRNA from 2 species
UACCAUGCAAGUCGAGCGGAUGAGAGGAGCUUGCUCCUUGAUUUAGCGGCGGACGGGUGAGUAAUGCCUAGGAAUCUGCCUGGUAGUGGGGGAUAACGUUCCGAAAGGAACGCUAAUACCGCAUACGUCCUACGGGAGAAAGCAGGGGACCUUCGGGCCUUGCGCUAUCAGAUGAGCCUAGGUCGGAUUAGCUAGUUGGUGAGGUAAUGGCUCACCAAGGCGACGAUCCGUAACUGGUCUGAGAGGAUGAUCAGUCACACUGGAACUGAGACACGGUCCAGACUCCUACGGGAGGCAGCAGUGGGGAAUAUUGGACAAUGGGCGAAAGCCUGAUCCAGCCAUGCCGCGUGUGUGAAGAAGGUCUUCGGAUUGUAAAGCACUUUAAGUUGGGAGGAAGGGCAUUAACCUAAUACGUUAGUGUUUUGACGUUACCGACAGAAUAAGCACCGGCUAACUUCGUGCCAGCAGCCGCGGUAAUACGAAGGGUGCAAGCGUUAAUCGGAAUUACUGGGCGUAAAGCGCGCGUAGGUGGUUCGUUAAGUUGGAUGUGAAAGCCCCGGGCUCAACCUGGGAACUGCAUCCAAAACUGGCGAGCUAGAGUACGGUAGAGGGUGGUGGAAUUUCCUGUGUAGCGGUGAAAUGCGUAGAUAUAGGAAGGAACACCAGUGGCGAAGGCGACCACCUGGACUGAUACUGACACUGAGGUGCGAAAGCGUGGGGAGCAAACAGGAUUAGAUACCCUGGUAGUCCACGCCGUAAACGAUGUCAACUAGCCGUUGGGUUCCUUGAGAACUUAGUGGCGCAGCUAACGCAUUAAG